CUUUUUGAACUUGAGGUUGUGGAAAUUGUUAAACUUGAGAAUUUGGUAUUGAUUGAACUUUGGUUUGUUUUUUUUAACUUGAGUUUUUUGUUGUUUUUGAACUUUAGUUUGUGGAAAUUGCUAAACUUGAGAAUUAGGUGUUGGUUUAACUUGAGUUUGUUUGUUUGUGGAACUUGAGUUUGUGUUAUGUAUGAAGUUGAGUUUGUGUCGUUUUUGGACUAAAGUUAGUGUGUUUGUUGAACUUGAGGUUGUGGAAAUUGUUAAAGUUUAGAAUCAGGUGGUGGUUGAACUUGAGAUAGUGUGUUCGUUGAACUUGAGUUUUUUGUCAUGUUUGAAGUUGAGAUUGUGGUGUCUUUGAACUUGAGUUUAUGUGUUUGUUGAACUUGAGUUUUUGUUGUGUUUGAACUUGAGUUUGUGGUGUUUUUGAACUUGAGUUUUUUUCAUGUUUGAACUUAAGUCCGGGCGUUUGUUGAACUUGAGUUUGUGUCAUGUUUGAAUUUGAGUUUGUGUUUUUUUUAUUUGAAUUUGUGGUGUUUUUGAACUUGAGGUUGUGGAAAUUGUUAAACUUGAGAAUUGGGUAUUGAUUGAACUUGAGUUGCGUGUUUGGUGGAAUUCAGUUUGUACCUUGUUUUAACUUGAGUUUGUGUUGUGUUUGAACUUGAGUUGCGUGUUGGUCAAAUUAAGUUUGUGUAUUUUUUGAACUCAAAUUUCUGUUGUUUUUGAACUUGAGGGUGUGGAAAUUGCUAAAGUUGAGAAUCAGGUGUUGGUUGAACUUGAGUUAGUGUGUUUGUUGAACUUGAGUUUGUGUUGUGUUUGAACUUGAGUUUUUUGGUGUUUUUGAAUUUGAGUUUUUGUGUUUGUUGAACAUGAGUUUGUGUUGUGUUUGAAUUUUAGUUUGUGGUUUUUUUAACUUAAGUUUGUUUCGUGUUUGAACAUGAGGUUGUGGAAAAUGUUAAACUUGAGAAUUGGGUAUUGGUUGAACUUGAGUUUUUUGUGUUUUUGAACUUGAGUUUGUGUCUUGUUUGAACUUGAUUUUGUGGUGUUUAUGAACUUGAGUUUGAUGCGUUUGUUGAACUUGAGUUUGUGUCGUGGUUGAACUUGAGUUUGUGGUGUUUGUUGAACUUCAGUUUGUGUCGUGUUUGAACUUCAGUUUGUGUUUUUGUUUAACUUGAGGGUGUGGAAUUUGUUAAAAUUGAGAAUUGGGUAUUUGUUGAACUUGAAUUUGUGUGUUUUUUGAACUUGAGUUUCUGUUGUUUUUGAACUUGAGUUUGUGGUGUUCUUGAACUUGAGUUUGUUUCAUGUUUGAACUUUAGUUUGUUGCGUUUUUUAACUUGAGUUUGUGUCGUGUUUGAAUUUGAGUUUGUGGGGUUUUUUAACUUGAAUUUGUGGUGUUUUAGUUGAACUUGAGGUUGUGGAAAUUGUUAAACCUGAGAUUUCGGUAUUGGUUGAACUUGAGUUUUAUGUGUUUUUGAACCUUAGUUUUUUUCAUGUUUGAACUCGAGUUUGUGUUUUGUUUGAACUUGAGUUGCGUGUUUGGUGAAAUUAAGUUUGUGUAUUUUUUGAACUUGAGUUUCUGUUGUUUUUGAACUUGAGGAUGUGGACAUUGUUAAAGUUGAGAAUCAGGUGUUUUUGAACUUGAGUUUUUGUGUUUGUUGAACUUGAAUUUUUUUGUGUUUAAACUUUAGUUUGUGGUUGUUUUGAACAUGAGUUUUUUUCAUGUUUGAACUUGAGGUUGUGGAAAUUGUUAAACUUGAGAAUCAGGUGUUGGCUGAACUUGAGUUUUUUGUGUUUUUGAACUCCAGUUUUUUCUUGUUAGAACUUGAGUUGCGUGUUUCGUGAUAUUAAGUUUGUUUAACUUGAGAAUUUGUUGGUUUUGAACUUGAGGGUGUGGACAUUGUUAAAGUUGAGAAUCAGGUGUUGGUUGAAGUUUUUUUAGUGUGUUUGUUGAACUUGAGUUUGUGUUGCGUAAGAACUUUAGUUUGUGGUGUUUUUGAACUUGAGUUUGUGUGUUUUUUGGACUUGAGUUUCUGUUGUGUUUGAGCUUGAAUUUGUGUGUUUUUUUUAACUUGAGUUUCUGUUGUUUUGGAAUUUGAGGUUGUGGAAAUUGUUAAACUUGAGAAUUAUGUGUUGGUUGAACUUGAGUUAGUGUGUUUGUUGAACUUGAGUAUGUGUUGUGUUUGAACUUAAGUAUGUGUUUUUUUUACUUGAGUUUGUUUCGUGUUUGAACUUGAGGUUGUGGAAAUUGUUAAACUUGAGAAUUGGGUAUUGGUUGAACUUGAGUUUUUUGUGUUUUUGAACUCCAGUUUUUGUCUUGUUAGAACUUGAGUUGCGUGUUCGGUGAUAUUAAGUUUUUUUAACUUGAGAAUUUGUUGGUUUUGAACUUAAGGGUGUGGACAUUGUUAAAGUUGAGAAUCAGGUGUUGGUUGAACUUUUUUUAGUGUGUUUGUUGAACUUGAGUUUGUGUUGCGUUUGAACUUUAGUUUGUGGUGUUUUUGAACUUGAGUUUGUGUGUUUUUUGAACUUAAGUUUGUGUUGUGUUUGAGCUUGAAUUUGUGUGUUUUUUUUUAACUUGAGUUUCUGUUGUUUUGGAAUUUGAGGUUGUGGAAAUAGUUAAAGUUGAGAAUCAGGUGUUGGUUGAACUUGAGUUAGUGUGUUUGUUGAACUUGAGUUUGUGUUGCGUUUGAACUUUAGUUUGUGGUGUGUUUGAACUUGAGUUUGUGGUGUUUUUGAACUUGAGUUUGUUUCAUAUUUUAACUUGAGUUUGUGGCGUUUUUUGAACUUGAGUUUGUAUCGUGUUUGAACUUGAGUUUGUGGUGUUUUUGAACAUAAAUAUGUGUAUGCGGUGAACUUGAGUUUCUAUGUUUUUUGAACUUGAGUUUCUGUUGUUUUUGAACUUGAGUUAGUGGAAAUUGUUGAACUUGAGAAUCAGGUUUUCGUUGAACUUGAAUUUUUGAUUUUGUUGAACUUGAAUUUGUGUUGUGUUUUUUGAACUUGAGUUUUUGUGUUUGUUGAACUUGAGUUUGGGUUGUGUUUGAACUGUUGUAUGUGGUUUCUUUUAACUUAAGUUUGUGGUGGUUCUUGACUUGAGGGUGUGGAAAUUGUUAAAGUAUAGAAUCAGGUGUUGGUUGAACUUGAGUUUGUGUUGUGUUUAAACUUUAGGAUGUGUUUUUUUUAACUUGAGUUUAUGUUGUGUUUGAACUUGAGGUUGUGGAAAUUGUAAAACUUGAGAAUGGGGUAUUGGUUGAACUUGAGUUUUUUGUGUUUUUGAACCACAGUUUGUGUCUUGUAUGAACUAGAGUUUGUGUUGUGUUUGAACUUGAGUUGCGUGUUUGGUAAAAUUAAGUUUGUGUAUUUUUUUAACUUGAGUUUCUGUUGUUUUUGAACUUGAGGGUGUGGACAUUGUUAAAGUUGAGAAUCAGGUGUUGGUUGAAUUUGAGUUAGUGUGUUUUUUGAACUUGAGUUUGUGUCGUGUUUGAACUUGAGUUUUUUGGUGUUUUUGAACUUGAAUCUUUGUGUUUGUUAAACUUAUGUUUGUGUUGUGUUUGAACUUUAGUAUGUGGUUUUUUGAACAUGAGUUUGUUUCGUGUUUGAACUUGAGGUUGUGGAAAUUGUUAAACUUUAGAAUUGGGUAUUGGUUGAACUUGAGUUUUUUGUGUUUUUGAACUCCAGUUUUUGUCUUGUUAGAACUUGAGUUGCGUGUUCGGUGAUAUUAAGUUUUUUUUAACUUGAGAAUUUGUUGGUUUUGAACUUAAGGGUGUGGACAUUGUUAAAGUUGAGAAUCAGGUGUUGGUUGAACUUUUUUUAGUGUGUUUGUUGAACUUGAGUUUGUGUUGCGUUUGAACUUUAGUUUGUGGUGUUUUUGAACUUGAGUUUGUGUGUUUUUUGAACUUAAGUUUGUGUUGUGUUUGAGCUUGAAUUUGUGUGUUUUUUUUUAACUUGAGUUUCUGUUGUUUUGGAAUUUGAGGUUGUGGAAAUAGUUAAAGUUGAGAAUCAGGUGUUGGUUGAACUUGAGUUAGUGUGUUUGUUGAACUUGAGUUUGUGUUGCGUUUGAACUUUAGUUUGUGGUGUGUUUGAACUUGAGUUUGUGGUGUUUUUGAACUUGAGUUUGUUUCAUAUUUUAACUUGAGUUUGUGGCGUUUUUUGAACUUGAGUUUGUAUCGUGUUUGAACUUGAGUUUGUGUUGUUUUUGAAUUUGAGUUUGUGGUGUUUUUGAACAUAAAUAUGUGUAUGCGGUGAACUUGAGUUUCUAUGUUUUUUGAACUUGAGUUUCUGUUGUUUUUGAACUUGAGUUAGUGGAAAUUGUUGAACUUGAGAAUCAGGUUUUCGUUGAACUUGAAUUUUUGAUUUUGUUGAACUUGAAUUUGUGUUGUGUUUUUUGAACUUGAGUUUUUGUGUUUGUUGAACUUGAGUUUGGGUUGUGUUUGAACUGUUGUAUGUGGUUUCUUUUAACUUAAGUUUGUGGUGGUUCUUGACUUGAGGGUGUGGAAAUUGUUAAAGUAUAGAAUCAGGUGUUGGUUGAACUUGAGUUUGUGUUGUGUUUAAACUUUAGGAUGUGUUUUUUUUAACUUGAGUUUAUGUUGUGUUUGAACUUGAGGUUGUGGAAAUUGUAAAACUUGAGAAUGGGGUAUUGGUUGAACUUGAGUAUUUUGUGUUUUUGAACUACAGUUUGUGUCUUGUAUGAACUAGAGUUUUUGUUGUGUUUGAACUUGAGUUGCGUGUUUGGUAAAAUUAAGUUUGUGUAUUUUUUUAACUUGAGUUUCUGUUGUUUUUGAACUUGAGGGUGUGGACAUUGUUAAAGUUGAGAAUCAGGUGUUGGUUGAAUUUGAGUUAGUGUGUUUUUUGAACUUGAGUUUGUGUCAUGUUUGAACUUGAGUUUUUUGGUGUUUUUGAACUUGAAUCUUUGUGUUUGUUAAACUUAUGUUUGUGUUGUGUUUGAACUUUAGUAUGUGGUUUUUUGAACAUGAGUUUGUUUCGUGUUUGAACUUGAGGUUGUGGAAAUUGUUAAACUUUAGAAUUGGGUAUUGGUUGAACUUGAGUUGCGUGUCUGGUUAAAUUAAGUUUGUAUAUUUUUUGAACUUGAGUUUCUGUUGUUUUUAAACUUGAGGGUGUGGAUAUUUUUAAAGUUUAGAAUCAGGUGUUGGUUGAACUUGAGUUAGUGUGUUUGUUGAACUUGAGUUUGUGUCGUGUUUGAACUUGAGUCUCUGUUGUUUUUGAACUUGAGUUUUUGUGUUUGUUGAACUUGAGUAUGUGUUGUGUUUGAACUUUAGUUUGUGGUGUUUUUGAACUUGAUUUUGUGUGUUUUUUGAACUUAAGUUUGUGUUGUGUUUGAGCUUGAAUUUGUGUGUUUUUUUUUAACUUGAGUUUCUGUUGUUUUGGAAUUUGAGGUUGUGGAAAUAGUUAAAGUUGAGAAUCAGGUGUUGGUUUAACUUGAGUUAGUGUGUUUGUUGAACUUGAGUUUGUGUUGCGUUUGAACUUUAGUUUGUGGUGUGUUUGAACUUGAGUUUGUGUGUUUUUUGAACUUAAGUUUGUGUUGUGUUUGAGCUUGAAUUUGUGUGUUUUUUUUUAACUUGAGUUUCUGUUGUUUUGGAAUUUGAGGUUGUGGAAAUAGUUAAAGUUGAGAAUCAGGUGUUGGUUGAACUUGAGUUAGUGUGUUUGUUGAACUUGAGUUUGUGUUGCGUUUGAACUUUAGUUUGUGGUGUGUUUGAACUUGAGUUUGUGGUGUUUUUGAACUUGAGUUUGUUUCAUAUUUUAACUUGAGUUUGUGGCAUUUUUUGAACUUGAGUUUGAAUCGUGUUUGAACUUGAGUUUGUGUUGUUUUUGAAUUUGAGUUUGUGGUGUUUUUGAACAUAAAUAUGUGUAUGCGGUGAACUUGAGUUUCUAUGUUUUUUGAACUUGAGUUUCUGUUGUUUUUGAACUUGAGUUAGUGGAAAUUGUUGAACUUGAGAAUCAGGUUUUCGUUGAACUUGAAUUUUUGAUUUUGUUGAACUUGAAUUUGUGUUGUGUUUUUUGAACUUGAGUUUUUGUGUUUGUUGAACUUGAGUUUGGGUUGUGUUUGAACUGUUGUAUGUGGUUUCUUUUAACUUAAGUUUGUGGUGGUUCUUGACUUGAGGGUGUGGAAAUUGUUAAAGUAUAGAAUCAGGUGUUGGUUGAACUUGAGUUUGUGUUGUGUUUAAACUUUAGGAUGUGUUUUUUUUAACUUGAGUUUAUGUUGUGUUUGAACUUGAGGUUGUGGAAAUUGUAAAACUUGAGAAUGGGGUAUUGGUUGAACUUGAGUUUUUUGUGUUUUUGAACCACAGUUUGUGUCUUGUAUGAACUAGAGUUUGUGUUUGAACUUGAGUUGCGUGUUUGGUAAAAUUAAGUUUGUGUAUUUUUUUAACUUGAGUUUCUGUUGUUUUUGAACUUGAGGGUGUGGACAUUGUUAAAGUUGAGAAUCAGGUGUUGGUUGAAUUUGAGUUAGUGUGUUUUUUGAACUUGAGUUUGUGUCGUGUUUGAACUUGAGUUUUUUGGUGUUUUUGAACUUGAAUCUUUGUGUUUGUUAAACUUAUGUUUGUGUUGUGUUUGAACUUUAGUAUGUGGUUUUUUGAACAUGAGUUUGUUUCGUGUUUGAACUUGAGGUUGUGGAAAUUGUUAAACUUUAGAAUUGGGUAUUGGUUGAACUUGAGUUGCGUGUCUGGUUAAAUUAAGUUUGUAUAUUUUUUGAACUUGAGUUUCUGUUGUUUUUAAACUUGAGGGUGUGGAUAUUUUUAAAGUUUAGAAUCAGGUGUUGCUUGAACUUGAGUUAGUGUGUUUGUUGAACUUGAGUUUGUGUCGUGUUUGAACUUGAGUCUGUGUUGUUUUUGAACUUGAGUUUUUGUGUUUGUUGAACUUGAGUAUGUGUUGUGUUUGAACUUUAGUAUGUGUUUUUUUUAACAAGUUUUUUUCCUGUUUGAACUCUAGUUAAUGUGUUUGUUUAACUUGAAUUUGUGGUGUUUUUGAACUUGAGGUUGUGGAAAUUGCUAAACUUCAGAAUUGGGAAUUGGUUGAACUUGAGUUUUUUGUGUUUUUGAACUUCAGUUUGUGUCGUGUUUGAACUUGAGUUUGUGUUGUUUUAGAACUUGAGUUGCAUGUUUGGUGAAAUUAAGUUUGUGUAUUUUUUUAACUUGAGUUUCUGUAGUUUUUGAACUUGAGGGUGUGGACAUUGUUAAAGUUGAGAAUCAGGUGUUGGUUGAAUUUGAGUUAGUGUGUUUUUGGAACUUGAGUUUGUGUCGUGUUUGAACUUGAGUUUGUGUUGUGUUUUUUGAACUUGAGGUUUUGUCAAUUUUUAAACUUGAGAUUUGGGUGUUGGUUAAACUUGAGUUUGUGUCAUGUUUGAACGAAGGUUCGUGGUGUUUGUUGAACUUGAGUUUGUGUGUUAUUUGAACUUGAGUUUGUUGAACUUGAAUUUGUAGCAAUUGUUGAACUUUAGUUUGUACCUUUGUUGAACUUGCGUUUUUGACAUGUUCGAACUUGAGUUUGUGUUGUUUUUGAACUUGAGUUUGUGGCAAAUGUUGAACUUGAGUCUGUGCUUUUUGGUGAACUUUAGUUGGUUGGAAUUGUUGAACUUGAGUUUGUGACAUUUUUUGAAUUUGAGUUUAUGACGUGUUUUAACUUGCGUUUUUUUUCUUUUACUUGAGGUUGUGGUGUGUUUGAACCUGAGGUUUUGGAAAUUGUUAAACUUGAGAAUUGGAUAUUGGUUGAACUUGAGUUUGUGUGUGUGAACUUGAGUUUGUGUUGUGUUUGAACUUGAGUCUGUGGUGUUUUUGAACUUGAGGUUGUGUGUUUGUUGAACUUGAGAUUUGGGUGUUGGUUGAACUUGAGUUUGUGUCGUGUUUGAACUUUAGUUUGUGCUGUUUUUGAACUUAGGUUUGUUGAACUUGAGUUUUUGGCAAUUGUUGAACUUGAGUCUUUGGUUUUUAGUCAACUGUAGCAGGUGGCAAUUGUUGAAGUUGAGUUUGUGGCGUUUUUUGAACUUGAGUUUGUGUCAUGUUUGAACUUAAGUUUGUGGUGUUCUUGGACUUGAGUUUGUGGUGUUUGAACUUGAGGUUGUGGUGUUUUUGAACUUUAGUUUGUGUGUUUUUGAACUUGAGUUUGUGUUGUGUUUGAACUUGAGUUUGUGUUGUGUUUGAACUUGAGUUUGUGGUGUUUUUUGAACUUGAGGUUGUGUAAAUUGUGAAUCUUGAAAAUAAGGUGUUGGUUGAACUUAAGUUUGUGUUUUUUUUAACUUGAUUUUUUGUCAUGUUUGAACUUGAGUUUGUGGUUUUUAUAAACUUGAGUUUGUGUUGUUUUUGAACUUCAGUUUUUGGAAUCUGUUAAACUUGAGCUUUGGUUUUUGGUUGAACUUGAGUUUGUGGUCUUUGUUGAACUUGAGUUCAUGUCGUGUUUGAACUUGAGUUUGUGGUUAUUUUGAACUUGAGUUUUUGUUUUUUUAACUUCAGGUUGUGCUGUUUUUGAACUUCAGUUUGUGGAAAUUGUUGAACUUUCGGAUCAGGUGUUGAUUGAACUUGAGUUUGAAACGUGUUUGAACAUGAGUUUUUGGUGUUUUUGAACUUGAUUUUUUGUGUUUUUUGAACUUGAGUUUGUUGUGUUUUUGAACUUUGUUGGUUGGUUGAACUUAAAAUUUUUUACAUUUGUUGAACUUGAGUUUUUGGUGUUCGUCGAACUUGAAUUUAUGUCUCAUUUGAAUUUGAGUUUGUGGCGUGUUUCAACUUGAGGUUGCAAUUGUAAACUUGAGAUUUGGGUUUUGGUUGAACUUAAAACUUAGACAUUUGUUGAACUUGAGUUUGUGGCGUUUGUUGAACUUUUGUCUGUGUCGUGUUUGAACUUGAGUUUGUGGUGUUUUUGAACUUGAGAUUUUAGUGUUUGUUGAACUUGAGUUUGUGUCGUGUUUUUUAGAAGAUGACCUCGGUGCAAAAAUGCGGGAAUGAACUACACGAAGACAGAGUCAAGCUGGCAGCCUCUCGCAGGAUUUUAUUCCGAUCACAGCAUCAGACACAAUUCAAUGAACAAAUCGAACAGACAGAACCCAGAACAGAAAACCUACAGACCUCUUAUAAUACUCCAUUGACGUCACUGAUCUCAGCUUUUGCCAAAUGUGUGUGCGAAGCUACCUUCGUGUGUGUGUAUUUCCCACUUUCAAGUGGGAACGUUACCUACGUGACUUUUCCCUGCCAAUAUCUCUGAAGCACAUCUGUAUCCAUCUUCCUCUGCCAAAUUUCCUGUUAUUGUACUACAGUUCACCAUGACCUGAUGAAGUUUAUCCCAAUCUGACCUCUCCAACCAUAUCCUGCUUUCUUGCCUCAUAGUAACCUCCAAAACAUCCAAACAUAUCUGUUAUUUUCCCCCACAUAUCCCCCCUUUGAAUCUUUUCAAGAUUAAACGAGUUCAAUGACGCCGUUGGAGAUUCACACUUAUCUUGUCUUAGCCUUAGUUACGUUACAUGAAUGAGUUAUGACAACGUUAUGUGAUAUGGUACUACUAGAUUGAUUACAGUUGCAUAUGUAUGUUUUCAAACCAAUCCAACUCAUGCUUGUGAUCACGAAUGUUACAUUUUCAUAAACACAACACUUAAAUCACUUGUGACUUGGUUCACAUCUGACAGGGGCGAAAAACCUGCUGGCUGCUUUGAGCAGGAAAUCCCCCUGCGGCCCCUCCCGCUGGCGACCUUCACCGUGAACCUUCUAAAUCUAACUGCUUUUCACUGACCCACUCUACAUGACAAUCAACCACAUGUUUUAUUUUGCUCAAAAAAUGAUUAACCAUUUCCUUUACCUGUUUCCAUAUACCUGGAAUGAGUAUGUGUAAAUGAUGUGAGUAUGCAGAAUACACAUGGAUAACAACAGAAUAUGUGUGUAUUGAUGUGAUAGUCCAUUUGCAGAAUACACCUGGAUAGCAACAGAAUAUGCGUGUAUUGAUAUGAUAGUCCAUUUGCUCCGCCGUCCCAUUUGCUUUUCCUUUUGCUCGCUCGCUGCUGCUGCACCUCUGCUUCUUGUUUACCUCACACUUGACUCAGUUCAUCCUCAUCAGAGUCACCCACACAGGCAGGGUUCGGGUAUAAGUCCGUAUAGUCCCCGUUUCCCGCCUUGCUGUCGUCCAAGCAGAGUUGUGCCAUUUGGGACGGCGUCAGCAAGUUCAACAUUUGAGCUCUUUGGAGACCAGCCACCACAGUCAUCAGUCUUUCCAGAGCCCGCAGACACUGCCUCCUCAGGAUGGGGAUGAUGCAACAUAUCAAAAAGGAAAUUACAAUUAGGACUGCUAGUGCACUGAGUCCUAUCUUAGCCCAAACGGCUCCCCAUUUUCCUAAAAUUUGGUCAAACCAAUCCCAUGACAGUCCCCCCUUGCCCGCACUCUCCCUGAGCUCAACUCUGAGUUCUGUAAGCUUCCCCAUUGCCACAGAAAAUAUACCAUCAGGGGCUGUGUUAUUUGGAAUAAAGGUACAACAAUGUUUCCCGAACAUGUGACACACUCCUCCCCUAUCCACUGUCAGCCAAUUCAAAGCCUGUCUAUUUUGUUGGGCCAUUAUACUUGCUGCGUGUAAUUGACUACCGAGAGCGCUCAGGAUUUCAGAUGUCGUUCGUUGUAAUAAAUGUAAUUUAUCCAUUGGACAUUUUUAUUAAUGGUGAUCCAGGGGAGAAUCGACUCUAGACCCGCUCUGAUCUCAUCCUGAGCUUUAAACUCCCCUGGAAUUCCUAUUGGCACUCCUAUACUAUUGAUGUACACCUUUUCGUCAAUCUGCCUUUUGUGGCGGUUCAAUUUGGCUGUUUCUUCCUGGAUUUUAAGGAUCUCCUCGACGCCGUCAUACAACACGACAACUGACACUUUCAUUCGCACUAAUGUACAGAGUCCAAUCCAUUUUGGUGGAAGUGUGUUUCGCACAAUGUUGUCUCCACACAUCCAGUAACUGUCAGCUACUGCAACAGUUUGACUUGCGAAAAAAUGCAUACUCGGUCUGGUCAUAGUUAUGUUUUCACAUGUUUGAUCUAACAUUUGCUCUGGAUUUUCAAACCAAACAGGUCUAGUUAUAAACGGUUUGCUCAUAUUAGCUUCCGGAAACCAUGACAAUACCCACGUAAUUUUACAAUUAACAGUUAUAUUUUGGUAUGGAAUGUUUAUGUGUUUGAGCUCAGCUGAGAGUGCUGGCUCAGAGUUUAGCACGUCAUGGAUUGGUGUCUGUGUGGUUGCAUCAUACUCAUCUGAUUCAGAUGCUCUGUCUCCUCUGUCGUGCGGGUUGGUCUCUGGCGUGGCUCUGGUCCCCGGGGUGCUCUGUUUUCCCCUUUGAGUCUCUAGCUCCACUGCUUCUACAGGCAUCCAUAGAAGAGAGUUCAUUACCACCAGCACACACCACAAUGUCAUGUUUUUUCAUCUUUGUUUUUCAACUCAAUACCGCCCUUGGUUUUGCCUGGAACCUUCGUGCAGCGCGACAGGUGAUACCACGUCCCGCUCCCUUCGACCUGGACUGCUGUGGGAGUAGCUCGCACCACCGUGUAUGGUCCUUCCCGUCGUGGUUCGUGCCACUUCCUGCACUGAAGUAGAGUUCACCAGGACCAAAGUGCUCAGGUCUUCUCCUCGUUCUUUUUGCCACCCUCCUCAGAGGACGGUGAUGUACACCUGGUGCUCUGGCUCGACUGGCCUCCCCCUCUUGACUGGGAUCAGAUUUUGGCACUCCUCCUGCUAAUCGAUAGAUCUUUGCAUUGUAGUUAGAUGCCUCAUAUAUUUAAUUCUCUAAUUUCCAGCUGCUCAAGCGAAAACCUUAAUUAUUUAGCCGCAGUAAAGCAUAGCUUUGUAAGUUAGUCAAUCAUGCAGUGGAAGAUUUAUCUCAGUGCUUUUGAUUGUGAAAGCUCAUGAGCGCAAGUAGCAAAGCAUCUUCCUAUAGGUUAGUGUUGGUGCAAAUUCUCUGAUCAGAUAUUUACUUGAGAGAUUAACUUUCUUCCCCAGAAUGAUGUACCAAAUCAUGCAAUGACAGAUUUAUUUUGACUCCAAGAUCUUUUGAUGGUGUUGCUUCCAUCCAUCGACUGAACCUGUCAUCCUUACAAACAUGUAACAUUUCCCUUGGCAGUUUUAAUCAUGUCCACAUUGCCUAUGAAUAGAUUUCUAAAAACGUCUCUCUGGAACUGGGAAAGUGUCCCACUUCCGUUUUAUUGUUCUCUUCAAUUCAUCUAACAAAACGCAUAUCACAAUGACCCAAGAGUUUAUCAGCUCUCGUCAGCAUAUUCUAAAAAUGUCGUUUUAAUUGUCUCAUCAUCUCCCCCCUUUCACAGUGUGAAUCACUGUGAAAGUCAGAUCCUAAGUUUGUUUGUUAAUACUACUGGUAGCAAAAUAGUUAUUUGAUUCUAAACCAUCUUCUGUGGCCUUAUUGACCUUUGAUAGCUUCCUAUUACUUUUACAUUAGAUGGCACAUCUGUGAGGAGUGUAUGCGGAUUCAGCACAGCUGCAUUUAGAUUUAUCAGUAUUAAACUAACAGAACAGGGAUGUUACAAUGUCACGAUAUUUACUUUAAAACUAUAAACCAUAACUGUCUACUUACACACCUUGCGGUGAGCACCAACUUUGAAUGUUACUUCUACAUAGGUCCUUUCGGUCUAUAAGGUCAACAGGGUUAAAAUUAAAACUAACAAUUAACUUUUUCCAUCAUCCACAAAAAUCACACUGUAGUAAGCCACCACUUUCACAUUGUCUGGGCUGGGGCCCCCCACCACAGAUCCAGCCGGAAAUGUCCCUGGUCUGGGCAGUUGUCAAAAAUGUCCGGUAUAAUCACAUCCCCAGCAGGUCUAUAGACUUCACUCGUCCGUCAGAAUUCCACUCUCUUCCCCUGCCGGGAUAUAUCCUCUCUAUGGAGCAGGGUUCUGUCUGAGGAUAAACAUUCACAACAGGUGAUUAAACAGGUUACUGUCACAGGUUUUACCGCAGUUAGCAUCUGCACGGUCUGCAUCGCUGGGUCUCUUUUGCAGUGUCUUCCUUAGAGGUGGCUGUUUCAACUUCCUGUUCUUUCGGUCUCCGCUCUUCAUCUGGCAGCACCCUCCCCAUCACAUCACAAUAUGCAUUGAACUCACUCCCAUCUGUCAUGGGAUUCGUCAUUCAACCUUUUUUUUUUCUUGUGCAGGAACUCCUCCAUCGUCUUAGUUCCCAGCAGUUUAGCCAAGAGUGCUUUCAUGUCUGGUGUAGUCAAUAUUUUCCUACAGUUCAUCCUCAAAAACUCAUAUCCAUCUCCCUGCCCCCUGUUCAGUUUGUGGUAGUCUGGCAAUCAGCCCAACAAGGUGUGUGGUUUUCCACGGCACAUAGCUAGCCUGUGUGCCAUUUAUUAAGAUUGAAAACAUACUAUCAGUGCAUUUCCAAGCGAACAUAAUCUAGGCCAGGGGUGUCAAACUCAACCACAGCAAGGGCCAUAAUCUGGAUUUAGAUCUAACCUCAGGGUCAAACAGGAUCAAAAUUUCACUAAAACUGUCAACUUCCUUUUCAAAACAUAUGGGAGGAAACAUAGCAAUGAUUUUAAAUCAUUUGGAAAUUCAAAAGAGAUAAAAAUAAUAAUACUAAUAAAUAAUAAUUUUAAAGGCAACCUACAACUUGAGGUUGUGUUUUUUUUUAACUUGAGUAUGUAUGUUUUUUGAACUUGAGUUUUUGGUGUCUGAACCAGACUUUGUGGUGUUUUUGAACUUGAGUUUGUGUCGUGGUUGAAGUUGAGUUUUUCUUUUUUGUGAACUUUAGUUGCUGGCAAUUUUUGUACUUGAGUUUGUGACGUGUUAGAACUUGUGUUUGUGGUGUUUUUGAACAUGAGGUUGUGGCAAUUGUUAAACUUGAGAAUUGGGUAUUGGUUGAACUUGAGUUU